GAUCCUGCUCAGGAUGAACGCUGGCGGCGUGCUUAACACAUGCAAGUCGAACGAAGCACUUUAUUACAAUUUCUUCGGAAUGACGAUUUAGUGACUGAGUGGCGGACGGGUGAGUAACGCGUGGGUAACCUGCCUUAUACAGGGGGAUAACAGUUAGAAAUGACUGCUAAUACCGCAUAAGCGCACAGGAUUGCAUGAUCUGGUGUGAAAAACUCCGGUGGUAUAAGAUGGACCCGCGU
rnacentral:rRNA from 1 species